GUAAUUGCUGUAGAGACAUGGAAUUAGAGAAGUACUAAAGUCUCUACUUGCUAUAAACCUAUAGAAUUAACUAUAGGUAAGUAUAUAUUGAUACUAUGUAGACAAAUGGGGGUUGAAAUGCAAAGUUGUAGGAAUUAGAAUAUAACUCAAGUUUAAUCUCUUUUAUUCUUCUAUGAAUGAAGGUUAAACAUGCUCGGGAGUUCGAGUUGACAUUCUGACGGACCUACGACACUCUAUUUAAGAAAUGCUUCGUUCUAGCUGUUUUGGCAUUGAGUCACGGGGGCUAAGUGUUUACACAUUUUGAGACGUUAGCUUUGACUUUUCGGCAUCCCUACAAGGGAGGUGCAACUAGUCCAAGACCUUCUCUAAGGCCCCUAAAAUUGGAUGACUUUAUCCAAGCAAAAGCCAAGGUAUUGAGACUUCUCCACAGAGGAAACCACUUUCUCCUCCACGGAGGCGAUCUCCUCCUCCAAUCCGCAGGGGGGCUGAUUCACCGAGGCGUCGACCAAAGUCUCUCUAUGCUUUUGUUAUAGAGAGAAGUUGUUUAGAGGAUUUAAAUAUGCACAACUCAAAUGGCAGUUCAAUAAGCUACAACCAUACUAAUGGAUGGAAAAGUCUUUCCGUGGCAUGUGUGCUCGUUUGUGUAGAGAUGCGCAUUUGUUGCGGUUUCAAAGACUUUUACAACAGCAGAAACAAUAUUGAAUGCUCGAACUCUGAGGCAGUGGAUUACAGCUUCUCUUGGGGCCUCAAGCAGUUGCAAAACAUAUGGUGGCUGUCAGCACAAAUCUAACGGUACUUCUGGAUUUGCCAUUGCAAUCCAACAUAAUAAUAGGCUGCAUUAACUCUUAGUUUAACUUAGGAAUCUAUUAUCUCAUACUUCUUGUUGACAUUUUCAAAGAUUGUGAGAAGUAGAAGCUAUAAA